UGAAGCAUAGAGAGGUUAAGGGUCUGAGCUUGCUCUGGUUGAAAUGAUGAAGGCCUAGGUCCUAAGUGAGUUGUGCGAAGGAAUAGUAAAUCAAUGUCAUAGCUAGGAUUAAGUCCAGCAAGUCUCCAAGACCCAUGACUAAUCCACUAGACCAUAACCCUGCCCUCUUUGAAGAACAAACUCAGCUUAGUCCUGAGGCUAAGACUCAGCAUCUAAGAUCUGCCUUUUCCAAAGUAGCCCUUUAGACCUGCAUCCACAGUCUGCACUCCGGAAGAACUCCCCCUGACUUUGAUGAUACGUCAACCCAAGACAGUUAUCACUAGAACAUCACCUAAGAGACCGUGACACAAGGUGGUUUUUUCCUUCUAAAGACUCUCUCCAGCUAAAGAGAAAAGGAACAAGGAAUGCUGUUAAAGUGAAUGACUUAUUUAAUACUUU